GUGUGAGCAGGCAUCUUCCCAGCCUACAUGUGGAUCCAGGAAUCUGCAGGCUGGUUAGAUGGUUGUCACAUGU
rfam:Salmo salar isolate Sally breed double haploid chromosome ssa18, whole genome shotgun sequence.